rnacentral:rRNA from 1 species
UACGAAGGGGGCUAGCGUUGCUCGGAAUCACUGGGCGUAAAGCGCACGUAGGCGGAUCUUUAAGUCAGGGGUGAAAUCCUGGAGCUCAACUCCAGAACUGCCUUUGAUACUGAGGAUCUCGAGUCCGGGAGAGGUGAGUGGAACUGCGAGUGUAGAGGUGAAAUUCGUAGAUAUUCGCAAGAACACCAGUGGCGAAGGCGGCUCACUGGCCCGGUACUGACGCUGAGGUGCGAAAGCGUGGGGAGCAAACAG